CCUACGGGAGGCAGCAGUGGGGAAUUUUGGACAAUGGGCGCAAGCCUGAUCCAGCAAUGCCGCGCGCAGGAUGAAGGCCUUCGGGUUGUAAACUGCUUUUGUACGGAACGAAACGGCUCUUUCUAAUAAAGAGAGCUAAUGACGGUACCGUAAGAAUAAGCACCGGCUAACUACGUGCCAGCAGCCGCGGUAAUACGUAGGGUGCGAGCGUUAAUCGGAAUUACUGGGCGUAAAGCGUGCGCAGGCGGUUAUAUAAGACAGAUGUGAAAUCCCCGGGCUCAACCUGGGACCUGCAUUUGUGACUGUAUAGCUAGAGUACGGUAGAGGGGGAUGGAAUUCCGCGUGUAGCAGUGAAAUGCGUAGAUAUGCGGAGGAACACCGAUGGCGAAGGCAAUCCCCUGGACCUGUACUGACGCUCAUGCACGAAAGCGUGGGGAGCAAACAGGAUUAGAUACCCUGGUAGUCCACGCCCUAAACGAUGUCAACUGGUUGUUGGGUCUUCACUGACUCAGUAACGAAGCUAACGCGUGAAGUUGACCGCCUGGGGAGUCGGCCGCAGGUUGAAACUCAAAUGAAUUGACGGCUGAGAGNGCGACGGACGACGACGAGGGAGGAGG
rnacentral:rRNA from 1 species